AUACGGAGGGUGCAAGCGUUACUCGGAAUCACUGGGCGUAAAGCGCGCGCAGGCGGUCUUUUAAGUUGGAUGUGAAAGCCUCCGGCUCAACCGUAGAACUGCAUCCAAAACUAUUAGACUAGAGUGUGGGAGAGGAAGAUGGAAUUAGUUGUGUAGGGGUAAAAUCCGUAGAGAUAACUAGGAAUACCAAAAGCGAAGGCAAUCUUCUGGAACACUACUGACGCUGAGGCGCGAAAGCGUGGGGAGCAAACAGGAUUAGAUACCCUAGUAGUCC
rnacentral:rRNA from 1 species